UGCCCCAUCAAUGGGCAAAGAGGGACCUUGUUGGUGGAAUUGAUCUUACAUCAGUCAGGGACAGAGCUGAUAGCCGUCCUUUGCUCAUCCUAGCUUGAUGCCUGGCUUGGUAGCUGAAGCUGCCUUAUGCCUAAGGCUCAUAA